rnacentral:rRNA from 1 species
AGUGAACGCUGGCGGUAGGCCUAACACAUGCAAGUCGAACGGCAGCACAGUAAGAGCUUGCUCUUACGGGUGGCGAGUGGCGGACGGGUGAGGAAUACAUCGGAAUCUACUUUUUCGUGGGGGAUAACGUAGGGAAACUUACGCUAAUACCGCAUACGACCUACGGGUGAAAGCAGUGGAUCUUCGGACCUUGCGCGAUUGAAUGAGCCGAUGUCGGAUUAGCUAGUUGGCGGGGUAAAGGCCCACCAAGGCGACGAUCCGUAGCUGGUCUGAGAGGAGGAUCAGCCACACUGGACCUGAGAAACGGUCCAGAUUCCUAGGGGAGGCAGCAGUGGGGAAUAUUGGACAAUGGGCGCAAGCCUGAUCCAGCCAUACCGGGUGGGUGAAGAAGGCCUUCGGGUUGUAAAGCCCUUUUGUUGGGAAAGAAAAGCAGCAGGUUAAUACCCCGCUGUUCUGACGGUACCAAAAGAAUAAGCACCGGCUAACUUCGU